rnacentral:rRNA from 1 species
CCUACGGGAGGCAGCAGUGGGGGAUAUUGCACAAUGGGGGAAACCCUGAUGCAGCGACGCCGCGUGGGUGAAGAAGCGCCUCGGCGCGUAAAGCCCUGUCAGCAGGGAAGAAAAUGGCGGUACCUGAAGAAGAAGCCCCGGCUAACUACGUGCCAGCAGCCGCGGUAAUACGUAGGGGGCAAGCGUUAUCCGGAUUGACUGGGUGUAAAGGGGGCGCAGACGGCGAUGCAAGCCAGGAGUGAAAGCCCGGGGCCCAACCCCGGGACUGCUCUUGGAACUGCGUGGCUAGAGUGCAGGAGGGGCAGGGGGAAUUCCUGGUGUAGCGGUGAAAUGCGUAGAUAUCAGGAGGAACACCGGUGGCGAAGGCGGCCUGCUGGACUGCAACUGACGUUGAGGCCCGAAAGCGUGGGGAGCAAACAGGAUUAGAUACCCUAGUAGUC